rnacentral:rRNA from 1 species
AGAUUAAGCCAUGCAUGCGCAAGUUCAUACUUUACACGGUUGAAACCGCGAAUGGCUCAUUACAUAAGUUUUGGUUCAGUGGAUGAUACGUAUAAAAUGGAUAACUGUGGAAAAUCUAGAGCUAAUACAUGCUUCGAUGGUCUGACGGAAGUCGGAGCGCUUUUAUUAGGUCAAAAGCCAAUGGUCGCCACCGUUACGGUGGCGGUCUCGUGAAGUGGUGAUGAUUCUGGAUAAUGUAAGCUGAUUGCAGUGCGAUUGGGCAGGCGACAUAUCCUUCAGGUGUCUUCCCUAUCAACUAUCGUUGGUAAGUUUAUUUGACUACCAUGGUCGUAACGGGUGACGGGGAAUCGGGGUUCGAUUCCGGAGAGAGAGCAUGAGAAACGGCUGUCACAUCCAAGGAAGGCAGCAGGCGCGCAAAUUACCCAAUCCUCGAUCGGGGAGGUAGUGACGAAAAAUGACGAUGUCGCAAUCUCAGGAUUCGGCAAUUGGAAUGAGAACAAUAAAAAUCCUUUAUCGAGGAUCAAUUGGAAAGCAAGUUCUGGUGCCAGCAGCCGCGGUAAUUCCAGCUCGAAUAGCGUAUAUUAAAAUUGUUGCGGUUAAAAAGCUCGUAGUUGGGUGUCGGGAGAUGGCGUGCUAAAGUUGUUUGCCACCAUUUGUUUCUAUUGCGGGUCGUAUUGUUGCUGUGCUCAGCAACGCUGCGUCCAGCCAUAGUAUUUGCAGUGGUGGUGCCGCUGGUCGUAAUAGACCAGCUGCGUGGCUUACACGUCGCUUACUUCUCCUGAUGGUGUGCAUACAUGUCUGAACACAAACGUACGGGUCCGGCUCUACCUGAGUGCACUUAAUUGUGUGCUCAAGGUUGUUUGACCAGACUUUGUAGUGUUCAAAGGAAAGAUGGUGUUGUUUUGUUACUUUGAGAAAAUUAGCGUGCUCAACGCAGGCAUAUUAUUGCUUGUAUAAUGUUGCAUGGAAUGAUGAGGCAGAUAUCCUUGGUUCUGUUUUGUUGGUUUCUGAGAGCUGAGGCAAUGAUUGAAAGGGACAAGCGGGGGCAUUCGUAUUGUGGUGUUAGAGGUGAAAUUCUGUGAUCGCCACAAGACGAACUAUUGCGAAAGCAUUUGCCAAGAAUGUUUUCAUUAAUCAAGAACGAAAGUUAGAGUAUCGAAGACGAUUAGAUACCGUCCUAGUUCUAACUAUAAACUAUGCCAGCUGGGCAUCCGCUGAUUGCCUGUCACGGCUCUGCGGGCGCCCUCCGGGAAACCGAAGUUAUUGGGUUCCGGGGGGAGUAUGGUUGCAAAAUCGAAACUUAAAGGAAUUGACGGAGGGGCACACCAGAAGUGGAGCCUGCGGCUCAAUUUGACUCAACGCACGAAAACUUACUCGGUCCGAACACCGUGAGGAUUGACAGGUUGAAAGCUCUUUCUUGAUUCGGUGGGUGGUGGUGCAUGGCCGUUCGUAGUUGGGGAAGUAUUGUCUGGUUUAUUCCGAUAACGAACAAGACUCUAAGCCUGCUAGUAGCGCUGUGGUACCGCGGCGGCUGACAUGGGCGUACGGUACAGGAUUGUCCUGUUGGCGCUGGUGAAGUUGGGCCGGGGGUGUUGUUGCAGCUGGUGGUGGUGAUGUUGUUCACUUGUUCUUCCUCACGGGUGCAGGUGGUGAUUGUCGCCGCUGCGUGCUCGCGGCAUUGCCGUCGUUGUCAUCAUAAGCAGUGUUUAACAGUGGCAGGAUUGAUCCGUUUCUGCUUCGUAGUCGCAGUAGCGGCGCGUUCUUAGAGGGACGAGCGUUAUGCAAACGCAUGAAGCUGAGCAAUAACAGGUCUGUGAUGCCCUUAGAUGUUCGAGGCUGCACGCGCGCUACAAUGGAGAUUGCAAAAUGCGGUGGCUAGGCGUUUCCUGCUUCGAUAGGAGCGGGCAAUCCCAAAUGGUCUUCUUGAUUGGGAUCGGAGAUUGUGAUUAUUCUUCGUGAAGAGGAAUUCCUAGUAAGCGUGGAAUCAUUAUUCCGCGUUGAUUACGUCCCUGCCCUUUGUACACACCGCCCGUCGCUACUACCGAUUGAAUGGCUUAGUGAGGUGUGCGGACGAGUAAGGCGGCUGCGAAAGUGGCGGCAUUAUCUUAGAAGCUGACCGAACUUAACCAUUUAGAGGAAGUAAAAGUCGUAACAAGGUUUCCGUAGGUGAACCUGC